rnacentral:lncRNA from 12 species
UUCUUGCAAUUCUCUCAAAUAACCAAAUUACUCCUGCUUGUCUCCUAUUUAUUGUAUGUAGUUUGUGCCACAGGUGAUACCACUUUGUCCAUACAGCACUUUGGAGCAUUUGCCUGAUGUGUUGAGGUUUAUCUCUUGGCCUAAGGGUGAAUACUCCAGUGCUGGAUAAACUCAAGUGCUUCUGAGAUGCAGACUGGGAAAAAAAGCAUCCCAGGCCAGUUUCUGCUACCUGCCACUGCAUCCUUCUGCGGCCUUGUGGGCUGCUCUGCUGCCUGGGACUGCAGUGAGUCUGCUUUCUGACUGGUGUUGGCCAAAGCUUCCCUGCUUCUCUCUGGAAGAUGUUGCCUCAUUAAAAUGAAAAUAUUUUGUCAGCAUUUGUCUCUCUCUC